AGAGUAAAGAUUACAAACCGGCGAAUCCCUUGUAAAUUAGUUGAAGGCGUGGUAUAAGAAAGAAAACCAGAUCUAUAAUUCCAUAGUUGAAUUCCGUGUGUACACUUCUCCGGCCACCGACAAUCAAUCGUUUGCUUCUCGAUAAUUGGUGAGAUAUGGACAAAUCUUGCUCUCUGCUUGUUUAUUUUGAUAAAGGGACGCCUGCUCUUGCUAAUGAAAUCAAGGAAGCUCUAGAAGGGCAUGAUGUGGAAGCAAAAGUUGACGCGAUGAAGAAAGCUAUUAUGCUUUUGCUCAACGGAGAAACGCUGCCACAGCUUUUUAUAACAAUUGUUAGAUAUGUUUUACCUUCUGAGGAUCACACAGUUCAGAAACUACUGCUUCUUUAUCUUGAAAUCAUUGACAAGACUGAUGCCAAAGGCCGUGUCCUGCCUGAAAUGAUUUUGAUUUGCCAAAAUCUGAGGAAUAAUUUGCAGCAUCCAAAUGAGUACAUACGGGGUGUCACUUUGAGGUUUCUUUGUCGCUUGAAUGAGGCCGAGAUUAUUGAGCCUUUGAUUCCGUCUGUUUUAGCUAAUCUGGAGCAUCGACACCAGUUUAUUCGGAGGAAUGCAAUUCUUGCAGUAAUGGCCAUUUACAAACUUCCACAGGGUGAACAGCUCCUAGUUGAUGCUCCAGAAAUGAUUGAGAAGGUUUUGUCAACCGAGCAGGACCAAUCAGCCAAGAGGAAUGCAUUUCUUAUGCUUUUUAAUUGUGCACAGGAUCGUGCCAUUAAUUAUCUUCUGACCCAUGUCGAUAAAGUAUCUGACUGGGGGGAGCUGCUACAGAUGGUUGUGUUGGAACUUAUUCGGAAAGUAUGCAGAACAAAUAAGGGAGAGAAAGGAAGGUAUAUAAAGAUCAUUAUAUCUCUACUCAGUGUUCCUUCUGCUGCUGUUAUAUAUGAAUGCGCUGGAACACUUGUGUCUUUGUCAUCUGCACCUACAGCAAUCAGGGCUGCCGCCAAUACCUAUUGCCAACUUCUUUUGUCUCAGAGUGACAACAAUGUCAAACUUAUAGUGCUUGAUCGCCUUAAUGAACUUAAAUCUUCUCACAGAGAGAUUAUGGUUGAAUUGGUUAUGGAUGUGCUUAGAGCACUCUCUAGUCCAAACCCUGACAUUCGAAGAAAAACACUUGAUAUUGUUCUUGAAUUAAUUACUCCUAGAAAUAUCAAUGAGGUUGUUCUCACUUUGAAGAAGGAAGUCAUGAAAACUCAAGGUGGGGAUCUUGAGAAGAAUGGGGAGUCCCGCCAAAUGCUUAUUCAAGCCAUUCAUUGUUGUGCAAUAAAGUUUCCAGAAGUGGCAAGCACUGUUGUUCAUCUACUGAUGGACUUCUUGGGAGACAGCAACGUUGCUUCUGCUAUGGAUGUUGCUGUUUUUGUGCGAGAAAUAAUCGAAACCAAUCCCAAAUUGAGGGUUUCUAUCAUAACAAGGUUGUUGGACACUUUCUACCAGAUUCGAGCUGCAAGAGUUUGUUCUUGUGCUCUUUGGAUCAUCGGAGAGUACUGCCUUUCGCUGUCUGAAGUUGAGAGUGGCCUAGCAACCAUUAAGCAAUGCCUUGGGGAUCUUCCUUUCUAUGUGGCAUCAGAAGAAGGAGAGACUGCUGAUACUUCACAGAAAUCACAGCAAGUAAGCUCUGUCACUGUUUCAUCAAAAAGACCAGCCAUACUUGCUGAUGGUACUUAUGCGACACAGAGUGCAGCCUCUGAAACUGCAACCGCUGCUCCUACUGUUGUUCAAGGAUCUUUAAGCACCGGAAAUCUGAGAUCUCUUAUUCUUACUGGUGAUUUUUUUCUCGGGGCAGUUGUGGCUUGCACAUUAACUAAACUUAUCCUCAGGCUAGAAGAGGUUCAACCAUCCAAAGUUGAAGUGAAUAAAGCAUCGACUCAAGCAUUAUUGAUCAUCGUGUCUAUGCUGCAACUAGGACGAUCUUCAUUUCUCUCUCACCCAAUUGAUAAUGAUUCAAAUGACAGAAUUAUUCUCUGCAUAAGAUUGCUAUGCAACACAGGGGAUGAAAUCAGGAAAAUUUGGUUACAGUCUUGUCGUGAAAGUUUCGUUAAGAUGCUUUCAGAUAAACAGCUUCGUGAAACGGAAGAGAUUAAAGCAAAGGCCCAAGUUUCUUAUGCACAACCAGAUGACCUUAUUGAUUUUUACCAUCUGAAGAGUAGGAAGGGUAUGAGCCAGCUUGAAUUGGAAGAUGAGGUUCAAGAUGAUCUGAAGCGCGCUACUGGUGAAUUUGUAAAUGAUGGAGAUGAUGCUAACAAGCUGAACCGUAUAAUUCAACUCACUGGAUUUAGUGACCCCGUAUAUGCUGAGGCCUAUGUGACAGUUCAUCACUAUGAUAUUGUUCUUGAUGUUACUAUUAUAAAUCGUACCAAGGAGACCCUACAAAACUUGUGCUUGGAAUUGGCAACCAUGGGUGACCUUAAACUUGUUGAGCGUCCUCAGAAUUAUACUCUAGCUCCUGAAUCAAGCAAACAAAUUAAAGCAAAUAUUAAGGUGUCCUCUACUGAGACUGGAGUCAUAUUUGGGAACAUUGUUUAUGAAACUUCAAAUGUGCUUGAACGGUCUGUGGUUGUCCUAAAUGAUAUCCACAUUGAUAUUAUGGAUUACAUCUCUCCUGCAGUAUGUAGUGAUGCUGCCUUUAGAACUAUGUGGGCAGAGUUUGAGUGGGAAAACAAGGUCGCUGUCAACACUGUUAUUCAAAAGGAGAAAGAUUUUCUUGAUCACAUUAUUAAGGCAACCAACAUGAAGUGCCUUACUGGACCGUCUGCUCUGGAAGGUGAAUGUGGAUUUCUAGCUGCAAACUUGUAUGCUAAGAGUGUGUUUGGGGAGGAUGCUCUGGUAAAUUUGAGCAUUGAAAAACAAGGCGAUGGUAAUUUAAGCGGAUAUAUACGGAUUAGAAGCAAGACUCAGGGAAUUGCUCUAAGUUUGGGGGACAAGAUCACCCUUAAGCAGAAGGGUGGAAGCUGAUCUGGUUCAUUUAUGAGAUCUAAUCAUAUCUGGAUUCCCUUAUAUCUGUUAUUUCUUAUUCUCUGGCCAUGGUGGAUGUGUGCUACUUUUGAAAAUCGAUAUAUUGUACCAGGCUCUUUCAAAAUACCUUCACACCUUCAGAAUGAUCUUCCAAAUUAAGAUUGAGGACGAAAUGGAGAUUUGUUGUUACUUUGCUUACAACUUGAGAUGCUCGGGAUACAGGCACCCGCAGGAACUAAUUUUUUGCAGAGAAGAUUUUUAAAUUAUAGCAUAUUCGUUGUAGCUGAAGUUGUUCGAGGGCAGUAGUGUCUUCUCCAUAAUGUUAGAAGAUGGGCUUGGACAAUUUUAAUCUCUGUUACUGAUGAUAUUUGUAAUAUUUUUUCUGAUUAGACUAGACAACAACUCUUAAAUGUUUUAUGAAUGUUUCAAUUUACUAUA